UGCCAAACGGCCGCAUGCGUAACCACUCGCAUGAGGAAAGUCCGAGCACCACAGGGCAGGAUGCCGGGUAACGCCCGGUGGAGGCGACUCCAAGGCAAGUGCAACAGAGAUAUACCGCCCCUUUGCGGGGUAAGGGUGGAAAGGCGAGGUAAGAGCUCACCGGCGGACUGGCGACUUUUCCGUCAUGUAAACCCCAUUCGGUGCAAGAUGUAGCGGGAGUGCUAUGGUGGCCCGCCGACUCCCCAGAAUCGCUUGAACCGCCCGGUGACGGGCGGUCUAGAUAGAUGGCCGUUCACGACAGAACUCGGCUUACAGGCAUGU
rnacentral:RNase_P_RNA from 1 species